GUUUUUAAUUGAACUGAGAAAAGAUAUAUUUAACAACUUAAGUCCCUGUAGAUUUAGGAUCAGAAUAUAAAGGUACAAGUAAAUAUCAUAACACCAGAAACUUGGUAAUGAAAGCCUAAUUUCUAGAAUAGGGCAAGGUUUUCUCAAAGAGCCAGAUGAUGAAAACCAACAUCCAUAGUGAUGCACAUCAUCCCAUUGCAAGCAAGUGAAACUGUGAAAGUACAAAAUGAG
rnacentral:misc_RNA from 1 species